AUUGAACGCUGGCGGCAGGCCUAACACAUGCAAGUCGAGCGGGGCGGCGGACGGGUGAGUAAUGCUUAGGAAUCUGCCUGGUAGUGGGGGAUAACGUCCGGAAACGGGCGCUAAUACCGCAUACUAUCAGAUGAGCCUAGGUCGGAUUAGCUAGUUGGUGGGUUAAAGGCCUACCAAGGCGACGAUCCGUACCUGGUCUGAGAGGAUGACCAGUCAAACUGGAACUGGGCCACGGUCCAGACUCUUACGGGAGGAAGCAGUGGGGAAUAUUGGAAAAUGGGGGAAAGCCUGAUCCAGCCAUGCCGCGUGUGUGAGGAGGUUCUUCGGAUUGAAAAGCACUUUAAGUUGGGAGGCGUUACCAGCAGAGUAAGCACUGGCUAACUACGUGCCAGCAGCCGCGGUAAUAC
rnacentral:rRNA from 1 species